rnacentral:rRNA from 1 species
UGAGGAAUUUUGCGCAAUGGGUGAAAGCCUGAAGCAGCAACGCCGCGUGAACGAAGGAGGCCUUCGGGUCGUAAAGUUCUUUUACGUGGGAUGAGGAAGGACAGUACCACGAGAAUAAGUCUCGGCUAACUACGUGCCAGCAGCCGCGGUAAAACGUAGGAGACGAGCGUUAUCCGGAUUUACUGGGCGUAAAGAGCGUGUAGGAGGCGCUACAAGUUGGAUGUAAAAGCUCCCGGCUUAACUGGAGAGGUCGUUCAAGACUGUAGAGCUAGAGUAAGGCAGAGGUAGAUGGAACUCCGGGAGUAGUGGUGAAAUGCGUAGAUAUCCGGAAGAACACCAGAGGCGAAAGCGAUCGACUGGACCUUAACUGACACUGAGACGCGAAAGCCAGGGUAGCAAACG